CCUACGGGGGGCAGCAGUGAGGAAUAUUGGUCAAUGGGCGCGAGCCUGAACCAGCCAAGUCGCGUGAAGGAUGAAUGUUCUACGGAUUGUAAACUUCUUUUAUAAGGGAAUAAAGUGCGGCACGUGUGCCUUUUUGUAUGUACUUUAUGAAUAAGGAUCGGCUAACUCCGUGCCAGCAGCCGCGGUAAUACGGAGGAUCCGAGCGUUAUCCGGAUUUAUUGGGUUUAAAGGGAGCGUAGAUGGGCUUUUAAGUCAGUUGUGAAAGUUUGUGGCUCAACCGUAAAAUUGCAAUUGAGACUGGCAGGCUUGAGUACAGUUGAGGCAGGCGGAAUUCGUGGUGUAGCGGUGAAAGGCUUAGAUAUCACGAAGAACCCCGAUUGCGAAGGCAGCCUACCAAGCCGUCACUGACACUGAUGCUCGAAAGUGUGGGGAUCAAACAGGAUUAGAUACCCGAGUAGUC
rnacentral:rRNA from 1 species